rnacentral:rRNA from 1 species
UGGGGAAUAUUGGACAAUGGGCGAAAGCCUGAUCCAGCCAUGCCGCGUGUGUGAAGAAGGUCUUCGGAUUGUAAAGCACUUUAAGUUGGGAGGACGGGCAUUAACCUAAUACGUUAGUGUUUUGACGUUACCGACAGAAUAAGCACCGGCUAACUCUGUGCCAGCAGCCGCGGUAAUACAGAGGGUGCAAGCGUUAAUCGGAAUUACUGGGCGUAAAGCGCGCGUAGGUGGUUUGUUAAGUUGGAUGUGAAAUCCCCGGGCUCAACCUGGGAACUGCAUUCAAAACUGACUGACUAGAGUAUGGUAGAGGGUGGUGGAAUUUCCUGUGUAGCGGUGAAAUGCGUAGAUAUAGGAAGGAACACCAGUGGCGAAGGCGACCACCUGGACUAAUACUGACACUGAGGUGCGAAAGCGUGGGGAGCAAACA